ACAAUGAAGAGUUUGAUCCUGGCUCAGGAUGAACGCUAGCGGCAGGCCUAACACAUGCAAGUCGAGGGGUAACAGGGAAAAGCUUGCUUUUCCGCUGACGACCGGCGCACGGGUGCGUAACGCGUAUGCAACCUACCUUUUACAGGAGUAUAGCCCAGAGAAAUUUGGAUUAAUCCUCCAUAAUAUCUUUUUCUUGCAUAGGAAAAAGAUUAAAGCUUCGGUGGUAAAAGAUGGGCAUGCGUUUUAUUAGCUAGUAGGUGAGGUAACGGCUCACCUAGGCCACGAUAAAUAGGGGCCCUGAGAGGGGGAUCCCCCACACUGGUACUGAGACACGGACCAGACUCCUACGGGAGGCAGCAGUGAGGAAUAUUGGACAAUGGGCGAAAGCCUGAUCCAGCAAUGUUACGUGAGUGAUGAAAGCUAUUUUGGUUGUAAAGCUCUUUCAAUGAGGAGGAUAAUGACGUUACUCAUAAAAGAAGUCCCGGCUAACUCCGUGCCAGCAGCCGCGGUAAUACGGGGGG
rnacentral:rRNA from 1 species